GUCAGGAUGGCUGAGUGGUCCAAGGCGCUGCAUUCAGGUCGCAGACUCCACUGGAGGCAUGGGUUCGAACCCCACUUCUGACA